UUUUUUUAACAUAGUUCAGGUGUUCAUUAUGAACCUAACAGGGAAUCCCGUGAGAAUCGGGGAUGGGCCCGCCGCUGUAAUCGGGGAUGAAAUCCGCCUUAUACCACUGUUCAGCCAUUGAAUGGGAAGGUGCGGAUUUGCAGGAUAAUCCGAGAGUCAGAAGACCUGCCUGAAUGAAGAUGCCAUC
rnacentral:ncRNA from 2 species